rnacentral:rRNA from 1 species
CAAUAGCGUAUAUUAAUGUUGUUGCAGUUAAAAGCUCGUAGUUGGAUUCCUGGCUCGGGGUAGCCGGUCCGCCUUGCAAAGGUGCGCACUGUGCGGCCUCGGCCAUCCUUUAGAAAAGCGGUUCUGGCAUUCAGUUGUCGGGGUCGGGCUUCUAAACGUUUACUGUGAAAAAAUCAGAGUGUUCAACGCAGGCUUACGCCUUGAAUACAUUAGCAUGGAAUAAUGAGAUAGGACUUUGGCGGUCUAUUUUGUUGGUUUGCACGCCGAAGUAAUGAUUAACAGGGACGGUUGGGGUUCUUUGUAUUCAAUUGUCAGAGGUGAAAUUCUCAGACCAAUGGAAGACGAACCACUGCGAAAGCAUUUGCCAGGGAUGUUUUCACUGAUCAAGAACGAAAGUUAGGGGAUCGAAGAUGAUUAGAU